UACGGAGGGUGCAAGCGUUAAUCGGAAUUACUGGGCGUAAAGCGCGCGUAGGUGGUUCGUUAAGUCCGUUGUGAAAGCCCCGAGCUCAACUUGGGAAUUGCAGUGGAUACUGGCGAGCUGGAGUGCGGUAGAGGAAGGUGGAAUUCCCGGUGUAGCGGUGAAAUGCGUAGAGAUCGGGAGGAACACCAGUGGCGAAGGCGGCCUUCUGGACCAGCACUGACACUCAAGCACGAAAGCGUGGGGAGCAACCAGG
rnacentral:rRNA from 1 species